rnacentral:rRNA from 1 species
UACGUAGGUGGCAAGCGUUGUCCGGAUUUACUGGGCGUAAAGAGCGCGCAGGCGGUCGUUCAAGUCGCGUGUGAAAGCCCGAGGCUCAACCUCGGAACUGCCUUCGAUACUGCGGGUCUCGAGUCCGGGGAGAGGUGAGUGGAAUUCCUAGUGUAGAGGUGAAAUUCGUAGAUAUUAGGAAGAACACCAGUGGCGAAGGCGGCUCACUGGCCCGGUACUGACGCUGAGGCGCGAAAGCGUGGGGAGCAAACAGG